UGGUUUCGUAUUGGUGCAUAGAAGUAUUAAUUUUGUAACUUGUCUAGCACCAUUUGAAACCAGU